UAACCUAAGAGUUUGAUCCUGGCUCAGAACGAACGCUGGCGGCAUGCUUAACACAUGCAAGUCGAACGAGAUCUUCGGAUCUAGUGGCGCACGGGUGAGUAACGCGUGGGAACCUGCCUAUCUGUACGGAAUAACGUUUGGAAACGAACGCUAAUACCGUAUACGCCCUGUGGGGGAAAGGUCCGCCGCAGAUAGAGGGGCCCGCGUCCGAUUAGCUUGUUGGUGAGGUAACGGCUCACCAAGGCGACGAUCGGUAGCUGGUCUGAGAGGAUGAUCAGCCACACUGGGACUGAGACACGGCCCAGACUCC
rnacentral:rRNA from 1 species